GGAGAGAAAGGGGGGAUAUAAAUCCAAACUCCUCUUCUUCUACUUCAAGACCUGGUGCAAAAAAAAGCUGUUUGGUCGUGGUGAGGGCGGGCAGCCGCCCGCAUGGGAGGUGGGCAGAAAACUCAGAUUUUGCACUGGGCUACAUUUUUCCUAGAUACUCCUCUGACAGGAGUGCUUAAAUCCUGUCUUCAAAGGCUGCCUGUGAAUUUCUAAGAUUGUUCAGUUUUGUUAGUUCACCCCCACCUAACCAGGGUAGGUGAAAUUCUCUGCUUUCUAAUGAAGCAGCUGCAUCAGGAAGCAGCGGUUGCAACCUGCAUUCUGAACUGUGCCUUGUGGAGGAUGGAGAGUUGCGGAGCGAGAUCUGUUAUGUCGGAAAGAGAGAGGUGAACCCGAAGAACGUAAAGAACGAAAGUAAAAUUCAAGUGAUUCUGAAUAACUUCCAACCAAAAACAUUAGCCGCGUUAAGACAUAAGAAAAAGAAAAAUAGCCCUGGGAAAAAACCUGAAAAGAAUAGAAUUUUUUUUCCAAAAUGGACUUUUCCAUCAUAUCACCAGAAUUGAUCAUCACAAGCCCUGUACAACCAAGGUAAGUUAAUCUCAUCCAUGUUUGCUAACUCUUCUGCUAAUGUGUUUAAUUCCCUUUUCUAAAUCUAUAAUUCUUUUUUGUUAUAAUAAAUAUUUUUCAAUCACAUUUUUUUAAACAUUUUUCCCCCAGAUAUUGAAUAAAGUCUUUCCAGGUCUUUUGGAAUCUGGAUGAUGGUAUGUCCUUCAUUGUAGUUGACAACCUAUCUAGUAGAAGAUAUUCAGUUAUCUGAGAAAGCCGCUCCUCGAUUGUGGGGCAGUUAUCAUUCCUCCAAGCUGUCGUAAUUUUUAUCUUGGCUGCUAUAGAAAUAUACAGAAAUAAUUCUAUAUUUAAGUUUGGCACCUUUUUAAUUCCAAGACCCAAUAGGUAUAGCUCUGGAGAUAAUUCAAACUUUGUUUUAAAGAUGUUUAUUGUUGUUAUGUUCAUUAAUUAAUAAUUAAUUAAUUAAUAAUUAAUUAAUUGUCUCUUUUAAAGGAAAAAAGCUGCUUUAAACCCCAUGCGGAAUAUUUCUGCAGCUCUGGGGAACAGUUUUUAAGGUAGGGGCACCAAAUGUUCAGCAUAGCUGCUAGUGCUUCUCCUUACAAGAAUCCCCAAGUUUGGUUAACUUGGGUCAGGGGCUCCAAUUUUAUGGGGCCCCAUUUUUUCUCCAAUGGAAACAAAGCAAGAUGAAUGGGGCACCCUUUCAGUGCCCAUAAAAAUGUAUUCCUUGACCUAACAUUUAAGGAGAGACACCAGCAAGGAUGCUAAAAACUUAAUGCUCCCACCUUAAAAAACAGCACCCCCAACCCCCAGCAAGAUUCUCCACAGGGUAUAGCUGACCUGAAAAUUUCCAGCUAGCCGAAAAAGACCCUCCAUAUUAAUAUGGAGAUUUGGCUUUUUUUUGGUUUUCUGAAAAUGUUCAGGUUUAUUAAACUCGAAUGGGAAUGGAAUGGUACACACCUCAAAAAACUUGUGUCUAUUUUGAAAAAAAUCAAAACUUUAGAGUUCUUUCCUGGUUUCUCAAGUUUGUUUUAGCAAAUAAGAUCAGCAUUAGGUGUUUUUGUCAUACUUUCUUCCUGCAGGGUCACAGCAGGAAAGAAACUGACCAGAAACAAAAGAAAUAUUUCUUAUAAUUCCGAGGAGAAAAGCGAAAGAAAGAGAGUGUUUUCCAAUCUGUUUUUGAACCAGCAUUAUUCUCCCCUGGGUGGGGAGGUGCACCGUUCCUGGAGGUACUGCAAUACCAGGCCGAUGCUUGGAGUGGAUGGAGCAAGCCCCUAUUCCAUCUCCCAGUCCCAAAAAUCCAUUUAAUAUGUAGUCCUCAAAUAGAGGACAUAUCAGAUAUUAAACUGAUAAGAACAGAUACUACACUUGAUCUUAGCCAAAAGGCCGAGAAGCGAUAACAUUCUGCCCGCCGAAAGGGCCUCCUGCUAUCAUAGGAGGCACUUUGUCCGGUUGGGGAGCAACGCCAGAGCCGGAGGGGCCCAACACCGCAGCCAGCCCAGCCGGGGCCACAAGACCACCCGUCCCCUUCCCCAAACAUGGCUCUUGCUGCCUUGCGGGUCUUCAGUUCCCCAAAAGACAGUUUGAUGCCUUAACUGGGAGAUUCUCUCCUUUUUGUCACUUUCGUUGCUUUUGACUGCCAGGGCUCGACAGGCAUUGGCUGCUGAUCUGCAUAUCUCAGCCUCCUUUCCCAUAAUGCCUGCAGUUUACGGCUUAUUGGCUGCUGAUCUAUAUAUCUCCGCCUCCUUUCCCAUGAUGCUUGCAGUUUAGUCUGGCUGAUGCCCAGAAGUUUCUCUUCCUGCAUUCCUUCUGCCUUGUCUUCCAGCUCCUAGAUCCGUUGUUCAAAGAAGGAAAAACUAACUUUAACAUUUAUACACUGAAAUGACGCGGGUGAGUUGCAAGCAGAGGAAACUCCGUGGGAGCAUUCUGCAAAUGGUGGCAGCAGGGACUGGGAGGGAAGAGGGAAGUGUUGGGAACUGCAGUGGUGAUGCUGGAGCAUGCGGUCGCCCGGAGGGGAAAGUCAACUCACUUCCUGCUUGCAGACAGCGGCCACGCCACGUGACCUUCCAUCCAAUGAGCUCUCGCUCUUGGUCAGGCGACAUCCCUGCCUUCUUCACAUUGGCGGAAAGGUUCCGACCAACCAGAGGUGGAGUGGAGCUGUUCUCUCCCUAUUCCUGAAAUUGCCGCGUGGUGGCGCCCGAGAGAGCUAUAAAUGGCGAUGCCUGGUGCGGGAUUUCCCUUUUCCGGCGUGGUCUGCACGUGGAGGGUUUUUGAUCAGGCCCAGCUCUGUCCCAGGAUUCUGCAAAUAUUUAGACCUGUCCAGUCACAACAAAUGUGGCAUCCCCAGACAAGGUGG